AGGGGGAGGAGGUCAUUUCUGCUCCACUGCUAGCCACCUGUCCCCACAGAGCUGCCCUUGGCUCUGUUCAGACCCACAGUGGACUUGGCCUAUGUUUCUGGGACCACCAACAAAUGAACCCGGGCUUGAGGAAAUUUAAGCAAGUCACUGGAUCCAGCCCUCACACAAGAAGCAUAUAUUACCUAGGGAGUGGACAGGAAGAGCUAACGACCAUUGGAAGCAUUUUGGAAGGCUGGUGAUUACAACCUGCUCCAGAUGAAGUAGUUUUGGGUCUGGGUUUAAUACCAUAAUACAAGGAAAACUUGAAAGGUGGCUGAACUAUAUCAGGGUGGCAAAUCCAAUGGCCUGAGGGAGUCUGAAAGAAUUCAGCAUGAGGCAAACCGGCAAGGAGUGAGUUUAUUAGUAUGGGAUACACUUGAGAAGUACAAGUGGGCUGGCAAAGGAAUACAGCAGCCCCAAGAACAAAGAGAGCUCCAUUUUUAUCAUCAAAGAAAAAGUGGGAAGAGAAGACGACAAUCUCCUCAUUUUGUGUAGACAUCAAGGCUUUCAUCAUUUGUUGUCCCUUUGGCCCUAUGUGGUCUAACCAGGACUGUUAGGGCGCUAUUUAAAUCAUCUGUGUAUUAGCAAAAAGGUGGUAACAUACACUAAAACAUGAUAAUUCAUCUCAGAUUUCGGUAUAAAUGUCCCCUU